rnacentral:rRNA from 1 species
ACGAACGCUGGCGGCGUGCUUAACACAUGCAGUCGACCGGAAAGGCCCUGCUUUUGUGGGGUGCUCGAGUGGCGAACGGGUGAGUAACACGUGAGUAACCUGCCCUUGACUUUGGGAUAACUUCAGGAAACUGGGGCUAAUACCGGAUAGGAGCUCCUGCUGCAUGGUGGGGGUUGGAAAGUUUCGGCGGUUGGGGAUGGACUCGCGGCUUAUCAGCUUGUUGGUGGGGUAGUGGCUUACCAAGGCUUUGACGGGUAGCCGGCCUGAGAGGGUGACCGGCCUCAUUGGGACUGAGAUACGGCCCAGACUCCUACGGGAGGCAGCAGUGGGGAAUAUUGCACAAUGGGCGGAAGCCUGAUGCAGCAACGCCGCGUGCGGGAUGACGGCCUUCGGGUUGUAAACCGCUUUCGCCUGUGACGAAGCGUGAGUGACGGUAAUGGGUAAAGAAGCACCGGCUAACUACGUG